UACGGGGGGGGGCAAGCGUUGUUCGGAAUUACUGGGCGUAAAGGGCGCGUAGGCGGCCUGCUAAGUCGGAUGUGAAAUCCCUCGGCUCAACCGAGGAACUGCAUCCGAUACUGGCGGGCUUGAAUCCGGGAGAGGGAUGUGGAAUUCCAGGUGUAGCGGUGAAAUGCGUAGAUAUCUGGAGGAACACCGGUGGCGAAGGCGGCAUCCUGGACCGGUAUUGACGCUGAGGCGCGAAAGCUAGGGGAGCAACAGGG
rnacentral:rRNA from 1 species